CAUGGUUAACGUGAAGAGUGUUGGUUCUGAAUUUUGUGGCAGUAAUUGUUUCGCACAAUGUUUUAGAUCCUUAGAGACUUUGCAUUUCUAUGACAAGGAGGAGUGGAAGAAUUGGAGUCCUAAUGCAUUUUGCAAUACGGGAUUGUACAAUAAUUUUUUCAUUUCCCAAAUAAGGUUUUCCCACAAACCUAACAAGACUUGAAAUCACUAAAGCCUUGUACGAUUGGGGGUUGCACAACUUCACUUACCUAAAUCGACUUGACAUUGGUGGAUGUCAGAAUCUGGUGUCCUUUCCAGAGAUGAACUUGCCUGCCUCUCUAACAAGCCUCCGCAUCUUAGAAUUCUCGAAUCUGGAAUGCCUGUCCUCCGUGGGCUUAAGAAAACUCACCUCUCUUAAAACACUCGAGAUUUCUUUAUGCGAGAAGCUCACGUGUUUUCCAGAGGAUGGCCUACAUCCCUCACUCCUAGAGCUUGAUAUCUCUUCUUUCCAAAAAUUGAUGUCCUUACCUGAGAAUGGCCUACCUCCCUCACUACAGAAACUUGCAAUCCGUGGAUGUCCUCUGUUGGAAGAACGCUGCAAAAAAUAUCAGAGCGGAGAGCGGCGCAUGAUAGCUGACAUCCCUUUUGUUCAAAUUAUGUGACAGAAACAGAGGAAUAAAUCCAAAGUUAAGUUUGUACUAGCUCUGAUCCAAAUUUCCUUUGAAUGUUGAAAGGUGGCAUUGGAGAGAUCCCGUCACUCCUAUUGCAUGCUGCGACUCUGGUUGAUCGUCGAUUGCAUGACAUGGGUAAAGAUGAAGAAGGAUGUUUUUACAUCCAUAUAAAUACAGAAAUCGCUUGCAGAUGAUUCAAAAGACUGAUGCAAGUUGUUGCAACUUCCGACUGCUAUCUGAAAAAUGGAUGUGCAAGUUGAAAGGGGAGAAGAAGUUGUAAACCAAGCAGCAAUGGAUGCCAUUUCUCAUAGCAAAUAAUUUGCUCUAAUUCUCAGUGAGGUGGGCCGAGCGCACAAACAUUAGAUUGCGCUAAUCUUCAAACCCAAUAUAUUUGCUGUCCUCACAAUGGCUGGAUCAGGGAAUCUUCUCUGCCUCAACAUACUCUUCUAAAAUUGCAGCAGCAAGUUGUUGGCAUGCCAUGUCUUUCUUCGUGUUUUUGCUAUUCGUAUCCACCUAAUCAAUGUCUGGCUACAAGCGAACCUAUCUCGUGGUAUUGUUUUCGAGUCCCAAUGUUUAUAAGAGCUGUCAAGAUGGUGCUGGUAAGUUUGUAAUGAAUCAAAGUAAUCCCAUUUUUAUGAUUCAAACACUAAGAAAGUGAACAAAAUCUUGUUUAUGGCAGCUAUGCUUGACCCGCAUCACUACAAGAAAAAGUGC